GACGAACGCUGGCGGCGUGCUUAACACAUGCAAGUCGAACGGACAGACCAUUUCGGUGCUCCUCGAGUGGCAAACGGGUGCGUAACACGUGGGUGAUCUGAACUGACCUCUGGGAUAGGCCUGGGAACCUGGGUCUAAUACCGAAUAGGAACGCUAUAUUGAAUGUGAGGUGGAAAGAUUUUAAGGUGUAGUAUGAGUCCGCGGUCUAUCGGCUUGUUGGUGGGAUAAUGGCCGACCAAGGAGGCGACGUGUAGCCGGACUGUGGGGUUGGUACGCCACACUGGCACCUAGAGACGGCCCAGACAGCUACGGGUGGCAGCUGGGGGGAAUAUUGCCCAAGGGGCGCAGGCUGGAUGCUGCGGGUCCGCGGGUCGGAUGACGGUCUUAUUGUGGUAAACUACUUGCGCCAGUGACGAAGCGUGUUUUGACGGUACCUGGAGAAGAAGCACCGGCUAACUACGUG
rnacentral:rRNA from 1 species